AAAAAAAAAAAAAAUCUCUCAGCCGGGAAAAAAAGUUAGAAGACAUUCUUCCAGUUUCAAGUAACUAGAGUUAAGGAGUUCCAGAAGACAUCGAAGUUAUAUACUUGUCAUCAUCAUGAAGUCUAAUUCUCUUUCUUGGUUAAAACAUUGUGUUUUUAAAGCUACCGACAUAGAGGUACAAAAUUUAAAGGAAAACAACUCAGGGCCAGCAAGCAGACACAAUGGCUUUACUAUGCUUCAGAAAGAAUGGUCAGGGUCGAGGAGUUGUCGGAACAAGGAAGAGAUUUUUUGACAAAGUGUUUUGUUAAAGAUCCCAAAAAGAGAUGGACAGCUGAGAUGCUUUUACAAUAUCCGUUUGUAGCCGUCGAUCUUGAUGACGACGGUUUAGUAGUAGAAGAAGAAGGUUUCGUUGUUAACCUGAAAACAGAGGAGGAAGUCUCUACAUCGCCGAGAUGCCCUUUCGAGUUUCCCGAUUGGGUUUCGGUUUCUUCCGAUUCGCAAACGACCGAUUCACCGGAGGAGAGGGUUACGAGUUUGGCGGCUGAUUCGACCCCUGAUUGGUCUGUCACAAAUAGCUGGGUCACCGUACGGUGACGGUAGUGAUUAAAAAACAGGGGACAAAAACAGAGUUGCAGAGAAAAGGCUAGAGCUUUUUUUUAAUAUUCCUAGUCAGAUCCAACAAUUCUAAUUUAAUUCGUUGUAUAAAUAUUUUGUUAUUAGAAAUUCAGAAAUUUGUUACAUGUAAAUACCAAUUUUGUAUUCAUGAUCCGAGAUGCUUUCUGAAGCAUACAUCCGUUUGUAGCCGUCAACUAAACAUAACUCUAGGUCAGAAUCCUUAAUCUCCU